GUGCGAAAGCGUGGGUAGCGAACAGGAUUAGAUACCCUGGUAGUCCACGCCGUAAACGAUGACAACUAGCUGUUGGAAAGCUAUGCUUUUCAGUGGCGCAGCUAACGUCUUAAGUUGUCCGCCUGGGGAGUACGGCCGCAAGGUUAAAACUCAAAUGAAUUGACGGGGACCCGCACAAGCGGUGGAGCAUGUGGUUUAAUUCGAUGCAACGCGAAAAACCUUACCUACACUUGACAUACUUGGAAUCUUUUGUAACGAAAGAGUGCCUUUUGGAGCCAAGAUACAGGUGCUGCAUGGCUGUCGUCAGCUCGUGUCGUGAGAUGUUGGGUUAAGUCCCAUAACGAGCGCAACCCUUACCCUUAUUUGCCAGCGAUUCGGUCGGGAACUAUAAGGGGACUGCCGGUGAUAAACCGGAGGAAGGUGAGGACGACGUCAAGUCAUCAUGGCCCUUACGUGUAGGGCUACACACGUGCUACAAUGGGGAGUACAGAUAGACGCUAAAGCGCGAGCUGGUGCUAAUCUCAUAAAACUCUUCGUAGUCCGGAUUGCAGUCUGCAACUCGACUGCAUGAAGUCGGAAUCGCUAGUAAUCGCGAAUCAGCAUGUCGCGGUGAAUACGUUCUCGGGUCUUGUACACACCGCCCGUCACACCAUGGGAGUGUAUUGCACCAGAAGUGGGUAGUCUAACCUUCGGGAGGGCGCUCACCACGGUGUGGUCCAUGACUGGGGUGAAGUCAUAACAAGGUAGCCGUA
rnacentral:rRNA from 1 species